rnacentral:rRNA from 1 species
AUGAAGAAGGCCUUAGAAAAGGUGCAUCUUGCUGAUGAGGUAAAGGAGGAGGAGGAGGCUGUGGUGGUCAGGGAUGGCACGCCGAAGGCUGAUGCUGGCCGAGAUGAACGAGAUGUUGGCCAAGAAGAGGCAUAUUUAGCAGUGGUGGUUGAUCCAUUGUGCGCCAAAAAAUUACCAAAUCCAUCAGCAAACAGGAUUAUGCGGUUUGAGUCUACGAUUUGGAAGGAGAGAAACAAUUGGUUCUGCUCUCUCGAGAAAUCUGUGAAUGAGCAUUCUGUAGCUGCACACCAAGUGACUGGUUCAAAUAACGAGCAAGAAUGUCAGACCCAUUUAAAGGUUGUUGCUUUUCUUCCUCCUCCGCCGCCUCUAGGGUUUCUUUCCCCGAUCCACUCCUUCCUUGCCGCCGCCACCUCCGGCGCUCGAUCCUGGCGACCUCAGGCGGGAAUCGAAGACCCAUGUCCGGCGAGAUCCGGCGCGCGCCCGAGCCCAAGCGAUGAGGUGGUCCUAAUCGUGCACGGGGACGCAGCGGGGGACCCGACGGUGGUCACCGUCAGCUGCGCGGACAAGACCGGCCUGGGCUGCGACCUCUGCCGCCUCGUCGUCCUCUUCGGCCUUAACGUCCACAAGGGCGACAUGAGCACCGACGGCCGCUGGUGCUACAUCGUGCUCUGGUUCGCCGCCUCGUGCCGGGGCCGGGCCGUGGACUGGGACGUCCUCAAGGAGCGGCUGGUGGAGCUUCGUCCGCACCGCGCUGGAGCAGACCCGCCUCUUAGGUUUCUCUUGUUUCCGCAAAGGACGUUUAUUAUUAAGGCGGUGGUGGAGGUUCCCUGCCCUCAAAGCCCACGCCCAGCCGAUCUGCCCCUAGACUUCGCCGCCAGCCCCAAGGCCGACGAGGAUGACAUCAAAGCCCACGCCCCGAAAGCGUCCAUGGGCGGGAGCAGCACCGCCUCCGCCCUCGUGGAGACUUGUGCAGAGGGGUCGAGGGCACCGCCGCCCACCGCUGAGGCCCGAUGCCUCAAUCCCCGCGAGCCAUCAGCCCGUGACCGCCGCACCGAGGCGCGCCGCGCGCCCCUGCCGGCGCCUGGAGCCGCGCCUAGGACCGGUGAGGCGCUGACGACCAGCAUCAAGCCGCCAACCGCCGUGCCCCAUCCGUCGCGCCGCGCUGCCAACCUCGACCCUCCCCCAUCGCUUCACCUUUCUCACCACCUCGUCCUCUUCCACGUUGGUCGCCGGCUCGGUGCCUACUGUCCUCUUCCCAUGCUCCACCUCACAACUCAAGGCGGUGGUGGAGGUUCCCCGCCCUCAAAACUCCGCCCAGUCGUUCUGCCCCUAGACUUCGCCGCCAGCCCUGAGGCCGACCAGGACGUCAAAGCCCACGCCCCAGCAGCGUCCAUGGACGGGAGCAGCACCGCCUCCGCCCUCUUGGAGACAGGGCCAGAGGGGUCGAGGGCAGUAAGUACUAGGCGAAUCUCUGAUGGCGACUAUGGUACAUGCCAUCCAAGCAUGUCAGUUAGAUUUAGAUUUUCUGAUUGCAGUCUCACAGUAUUGGUACUGGAGCAACAUUUCCAGUUUUUGGAGUAG